UGAGCUGCAUAUGAAAGUGCCACAGGCUA
rnacentral:piRNA from 1 species